AAGCAGCGGAGCGUGUGGUUUAAUUCGAUGUUACACGAAGAACCUUACCAGGGUUUGACAUGCAAGUGGUAGGAAGCCGAAAGGUGACCGACCUUCGGGGAGCUUGCACAGGUGCUGCAUGGCUGUCGUCAGCUCGUGCCGUGAGGUGUCCGGUUAAGUCCGGUAACGACGCGCAACCCCACUGUAUGUUACAAGUGUCAUACGGAACUGCCGGUAUCAAGCCGGAGGAAGGUGGGAUGACGUCAAGUCAGCAUGGCCUUUAUAUCCGGGGCUACACACACGCUACAAUGGCCAGUACAAUGGGUUUGCAAGACCGCGAGGUGGAGCCAAUCCUCAAAGCUGGUCUCAGUUCAGAUUGUAGGCUGCAACCCGCCUACAUGAAGUCGGAGUUGCUAGUAACCGCAGGCCAGCCAUACUGCGGUGAAUACGUUCUCGGGGAUU
rnacentral:rRNA from 1 species